AUUGAACGCUAGCGGCAUGCUUAACACAUGCAAGUCGAACGGUAACAGGCGGAGCUUGCUCUGCGCUGACGAGUGGCGGACGGGUGAGUAAUGCUUAGGAAUCUGCCCAGUAGCGGGGGAUAGCUCGGAGAAAUCCGAAUUAAUACCGCAUACGCCCUACGGGGGAAAGCAGGGGAUCUUCGGACCUUGCACUAUUGGAUGAGCCUAAGUCAGAUUAGCUUGUUGGUGGGGUAAUGGCCUACCAAGGCUACGAUCUGUAGCUGGUCUGAGAGGACGAUCAGCCACACUGGAACUGAGACACGGUCCAGACUCCUACGGGAGGCAGCAGUGGGGAAUAUUGCACAAUGGGGGCAACCCUGAUGCAGCAAUGCCGCGUGUGUGAAGAAGGCCUGCGGGUUGUAAAGCACUUUCAAUAGUGAGGAAAAGUUGUAGGUUAAUAACUUGCAGCCCUGACGUUAACUAUAGAAGAAGCACCGGCUAACUCCG
rnacentral:rRNA from 1 species